CUCAAUCUUGCUUUCUUCACGUUUGUUGCAAUGUCUACCACCCCACAUCUUCUAAACUCUUCCUUCUAAACACUGGCUAAUGUCUAUGAUUGCCUCUCCUUAAAUUUCUUAUUACAUGUCCAUAUCAUGUCAGCUUUGAUUCCCUCAUACUGCAAUGUCUACCACUCCACAUCAUCUUCUGGUCUCUUCAUUUCUCACCUAUCCUUCAGCCUAAAUAUACUGUACUUAACUAACUCUAUGUAUAUUGGAUAGCUCUAUAAAGAUCCCUCUAGAGCUCCAGUAAGGGCACUCCCUUAUUGGUGCAGUGUUACUGCAGGAGGAAGCCAAACUACC